CCCUUAGAUGUUCUGGGCUGCACGCGCGCUACACUGAUGCGCUCAACGAGUUUACGACCUUGCCCGGAAGGGUUGGGUAAUCUUUUUAAAACGCAUCGUGAUGGGGAUAGAUUAUUGCAAUUAUUAAUCUUUAACGAGGAAUUCCUAGUAAGCGCGAGUCAUCAGCUCGUGCUGAUUACGUCCCUGCCCUUUGUACACACCGCCCGUCGCUCCUACCGACUGAGUGAUCCGGUGAAUAAUUCGGACUGCAGCAGUGUUCAGUUCCUGAACGUUGCAGCGGAAAGUUUAGUGAACCUUAUCACUUAGAGGAAGGAGAAGUCGUAACA
rnacentral:rRNA from 1 species